rnacentral:rRNA from 1 species
GCGAGACGUGUGGUAGAUGGCGAGGGAAGACGGAGGGUCAGAGCGUUGUGGUGAAUUAGUGCGGUGAAUGCGCGCGCAGGGGGUUUGAUAGGCGAGAUGGGAAAACCCAGGGCGUAACUGGGGAGUAGGAUGUCGUACUGGGGAAGAAGAGGCUUGUGGAGGGGGGUAGAAUGCGAGGUGGAGCGGUGAAAUGCGUAGAGAUCUGGAGGAAUACCAGUGGCGAAGGCGGCCCCCUGGACAAAGACUAACGCUCAUGCACGAAAGCGUGGGGAGCAAACAGGAUUAGAUACCCUGGUAGUG